UAACAGAAGUCAUGUUCCCUAAAAUCUUACAAGGAAAAGAAGACAGAAGGCACCUGAAUAUGAAGCCUGUGUAGGAUUCCCUUCUAAACUGAUGGAUGUUCAAAGGAAACAACCUGACUGGUGCCGUAGAGGAAGAAUAACUCUGCUGUCAUGCAUUUAUGCACAAUAACAAGGAAGAGCCAACAAAGGUGUUUUGAGGGACUGAGGCACUUAGUGAGAUGGUCUGAACAAACUGAAAUGAGGAAUUAGGAGUCAAACUCCGAAGCCAGAGUUCAGGAGCCAGAGCCAAGGGCAGGAGGAAGAGCUGUCCUGUCCACCGCUGUGUUGGAGAUGUAGAUCACACAAGGAAAUCUGCAGGAAAGGCCUAAGCAGGCUCUUCCACCCUAUCCUCCAUCCCUGGAUGCUAUGGAGCUGUGCUAUGAAUAAGGCUUUUUGAGCUGUGUUGAAUGCUUUUGUUUAAUGAACUUGAAUAAAAUAUGAGGUUGUGUUUGCUCUAGUCUGAGCAUGAGCAGAAGUACAAGGGAACUGUGUGGUAGUGUGUUAUGUUUGGAAAGCUUCACUACUUCCUCACACGGUCCCCAGCUCCUCUGAAGACAGAUUCAGUUGUUCUCUUCAGUUAUGAAAAAUACUUUAAAUCUACUUUGGACUCCACCAGCCCUCUGUUGCUGUUUUCAGGAGUCUUCUCUUGGGCAUUGACUUGGAAGAUGGGAAAAGGAGAAAUCAGAACUUGUGAAUUACAUCUGCAAAAACAAUGUUGAAGACUGUCUGAAAACUGAC
ensembl:lncRNA